rnacentral:rRNA from 1 species
GAUGAACGCUAGCGGGAGGCUUAACACAUGCAAGUCGUGGGGCAGCAUAAUGUAGCAAUACGUUGAUGGCGACCGGCGCACGGGUGAGUAACGCGUAUGCAACCUACCCAGUACAGGGGGAUAGCCCGGAGAAAUUCGGAUUAAUACCCCAUAAUUAUAUUAAGAGGCAUCUUUUGAUAUUUAAAGCUACGGCGGUACUGGAUGGGCAUGCGUAAGAUUAGCUAGUUGGUAGGGUAACGGCCUACCAAGGCUCCGAUCUUUAGGGGUCCUGAGAGGGUGAUCCCCCACACUGGUACUGAGACACGGACCAGACUCCUACGGGAGGCAG